rnacentral:rRNA from 1 species
CCUGGCUCAGGACGAACGCUGGCGGCGCGCCUAACACAUGCAAGUCGAACGAGCGAGAGAGAGCUUGCUUUCUCGAGCGAGUGGCGAACGGGUGAGUAACGCGUGAGGAACCUGCCUCAAAGAGGGGGACAACAGUUGGAAACGACUGCUAAUACCGCAUAAGCCCACGGCUCGGCAUCGAGCAGAGGGAAAAGGAGCAAUCCGCUUUGAGAUGGCCUCGCGUCCGAUUAGCUAGUUGGUGAGGUAACGGCCCACCAAGGCGACGAUCGGUAGCCGGACUGAGAGGUUGAACGGCCACAUUGGGACUGAGACACGGCCCAGACUCCUACGGGAGGCAGCAGUGGGGAAUAUUGCACAAUGGGGGAAACCCUGAUGCAGCGACGCCGCGUGGAGGAAGAAGGUCUUCGGAUUGUAAACUCCUGUUGUUGAGGAAGAUAAUGACGGUACUCAACAAGGAAGUGACGGCUAACUACGUGCCAGCAGCCGCGGUAAAACGUAGGUCACAAGCGUUGUCCGGAAUUACUGGGUGUAAAGGGAGCGCAGGCGGGAAGACAAGUUGGAAGUGAAAUCCAUGGGCUCAACCCAUGAACUGCUUUCAAAACUGUUUUUCUUGAGUAGUGCAGAGGUAGGCGGAAUUCCCGGUGUAGCGGUGGAAUGCGUAGAUAUCGGGAGGAACACCAGUGGCGAAGGCGGCCUACUGGGCACCAACUGACGCUGAGGCUCGAAAGUGUGGGUAGCAAACAGGAUUAGAUACCCUGGUAGUCCACACUGUAAACGAUGAUUACUAGGUGUUGGAGGAUUGACCCCUUCAGUGCCGCAGUUAACACAAUAAGUAAUCCACCUGGGGAGUACGACCGCAAGGUUGAAACUCAAAGGAAUUGACGGGGGCCCGCACAAGCAGUGGAGUAUGUGGUUUAAUUCGACGCAACGCGAAGAACCUUACCAAGUCUUGACAUCCUGCGACGGUUCUGGAAACAGUACUUUCCUUCGGGACGCAGAGACAGGUGGUGCAUGGUUGUCGUCAGCUCGUGUCGUGAGAUGUUGGGUUAAGUCCCGCAACGAGCGCAACCCUUAUGGUCAGUUAUACGCAAGAGGACUCUGGCCAGACUGCCGUUGACAAAACGGAGGAAGGUGGGGAUGACGUCAAAUCAUCAUGCCCUUUAUGACUUGGGCUACACACGUACUACAAUGGCGUUAAACAAAGAGAAGCAAGACCGCGAGGUGGAGCAAAACUCAGAAACAACGUCCCAGUUCGGACUGCAGGCUGCAACUCGCCUGCACGAAGUCGGAAUUGCUAGUAAUCGCAGAUCAGCAUGCUGCGGUGAAUACGUUCCCGGGCCUUGUACACACCGCCC